GACGAACGCUGGCGGUGUGCUUAACACAUGCAAGUGGAGCGACGAACCAGAGCUUGCUCUGGGGCAGAGCCGCGAACGGGUGAGUAACACGUGGGUAACGUACCCCGAUUACCGGGACAACCCGAGGAAACUCGGGCUAAUGCCGGAUGUGCUCCCUCCCCAUGAGGGGAGUGAGUAAAGGAAGCUUCGGCCUCCGAAUCGGGAGCGGCCCGCGGCCUAUUAGUUUGUUGGUGGGGUAACGGCCUACCAAGACUGCGAUAGGUAGCUGGUCUGAGAGGACGAUCAGCCACACUGGGACUGAGACACGGCCCAGACUCCUACGGAGGCAGCAGUGGGGAAUCUUGCGCAAUGCGCGAAAGCGUGACGCAGCAACACCGCGUGGGGGAAGACGGCCU
rnacentral:rRNA from 1 species